rnacentral:rRNA from 1 species
GAGUUUGAUUCUGGCUCAGGAUGAACGCUAGCGAUAGGCUUAACACAUGCAAGUCGAGGGGCAGCAUGAACUUAGCUUGCUAAGUUUGAUGGCGACCGGCGCACGGGUGCGUAACGCGUAUGCAACUUGCCUUACAGAGGGGGAUAACCCGUUGAAAGACGGACUAAUACCGCAUAUACUUAUUCGGUUGCAUGACCGGGCAAGGAAAUAUUUAUAGCUGUAAGAUAGGCAUGCGUCCCAUUAGCUAGUUGGUGAGGUAACGGCUCACCAAGGCAACGAUGGGUAGGGGAACUGAGAGGUUUAUCCCCCACACUGGUACUGAGACACGGACCAGACUCCUACGGGAGGCAGCAGUGAGGAAUAUUGGUCAAUGGGCGAGAGCCUGAACCAGCCAAGUCGCGUGAAGGAAGACUGUCCUAAGGAUUGUAAACUUCUUUUAUACGGGAAUAAACGGGCGAUACGUGU